rnacentral:lncRNA from 13 species
CACUGUCUGCCUGUUUAACUCUUUAACUUAGAAGUGGAUUUUAUCUAAUGCCUGAUCUGGCCAAUUUCCCCGUAACCUGCACGUGCUGUUCUUCCUGUAGUCACUGUUGACAUCAACAUUCUCUGGUUGCUGUGGUGAUAAAGGGGGCAUUGAAAAUCCUUUUCAGAGGAAAAGUCACUUUCUGUGUGGGGUCCAGCCUGAGGAUGCUUUCCACCCUCAGCCCAUGUGAUGAGACUUCCUGUGUACCAUCAUCAAAGCUUCCCCCGGCAGCAGCAGCAGCACUGAAGGCCAGUCUACUCACUUCCUGCCCGUAUCAGCACUGUUUCAUGUUGGAGUGUUGGAAAGAAACAGAAGAGAAAGAAAAGAGAGGGAGGAGAAGAUUUAAGACCAGCGCACAGAUUGAAAUGGUUAAUGCGUUCUCGGGCUGGAGAACAAGCGCUCUGAGUACUGAAGACUCCUCCCAUCUCCACGUCUCCAAAUGUCCCCACGUAAAUUCCAGGAUCCACACAUCAGAGGUGCCUGCCACCGAGCUGGGCGUGAACUCUGAAGACCAGAGGAAGAGACUGAGGGUCAAGAGGGCCAUACAGCUAAUAAGUAUGAGAGUCGGGAUUUGAAUCCAGAUCUUCUUAGACUUCCUCCAAGGUGCGUUUUUUGCACACAGGGUGGUUUAAAGAUUUUUAAACAGUGCAGAGACAGGA